rnacentral:lncRNA from 1 species
GUCCCUAACACCGAUCACCGAGCAGAAGUUUUGGUAUCAUGGUAAGACGUCACAUGAAGAAAAUGGAGUCGUUUUGAAGGAAUGAUUGACAUCUCUGGGGUCCCCAGCAUCUGAGACCUGAGUGAGCUCUUGGUACCCGGGGAGGCUUUUCGGGGUCUGAGUCUCUGGAGUGUGCCCCGUGGUAUUCUCUGAUGACGUCAUCUGGGACCCUGCUGAGAGCCCAGAGGCAGUGUAGAGCUGGUCAGGGGCUAUGGAUGCUGCAGUGUUUCACAUCCAUUCCCUCCCCUCCUGCAUAGCUGGGCCCCAGAGAGCAGAGCUGACCCCGUGGUCCUGUUCCCUGGGGCUCCCAUGUCCAUUCUCUACAGCUGUGCCCUAGUCUCCCUUCACUUCUUCACCCUGAACUCACAGGUUGAGGUCCACAUGGUCCAAACCCCAGGUCAGGGAUUAACCUGCAGCUCAGGGGUGGCUCAGGCUGUGGCUCCUAGAAAUCCUGCUUGCUCUUCCUCACUCACGUCUCCUGGGAUCCCCGGACCUGCUCUCAUUUGCAAGCAGAGGUGGACGUUGGUAGUGCAAGGGGUCAGACUGAUGGAAAACACUGGGUGUGGAGAGGUCUUGUUCCCCACACUCUGCUGGCCUUGUCUCCAUCUCAGGGAGACCAGCAGGUGGGACAGCCCAGUGAGGUCUGCACUAGAGUCCAGGUGGUUCUGGACUGUGUCUUUGCGAGUCCAGCAGGAUAUUCCAACCCUGGAGCUGCAUCCCUGCUGCCUGAGGCGCUGGCCCCAGAGACUGUUUGUCCAGAGACUCCGACUCCUUCCUCCAACACAAAAUAGUCCUCGUUUCCAUCUUCUAAUAUGUGUGCUGUUUCAAAUCCUGGAUGAGACACCCAAUCCUGGGCUUUGCUCUGGCCUUGGAAACAGCAGAAGGUGGCCCAAGUUCCUGUGCCCCUGCUCCCUGAUGGGAGAACCUGAAGAACCUCCUGGCUCCGGGAUUCCGAUUGGCCCAUCCCUGCCCUGGUGCCCAGCUUUGUACAGAAGCAGCAGAUGGAAGACCACUUU